UACGUAGGGUCCGAGCGUUGUCCGGAAUUACUGGGCGUAAAGAGCUCGUAGGUGGUUUGUCGCGUUGUUCGUGAAAACUCACAGCUCAACUGUGGGCGUGCGGGCGAUACGGGCAGACUAGAGUCCUGCAGGGGAGACUGGAAUUCCUGGUGUAGCGGUGGAAUGCGCAGAUAUCAGGAGGAACACCGGUGGCGAAGGCGGGUCUCUGGGCCGAUACUGACGCUGAGGAGCGAAAGCGUGGGGAGCGAACAGG
rnacentral:rRNA from 1 species